rnacentral:rRNA from 1 species
GACGAACGCUGGCGGCGUGCCUAAUACAUGCAAGUCGAGCGAACAGACCAGGAGCUUGCUCCUCUGACGUUAGCGGCGGACGGGAGAGUAACACGUGGAUAACCUACCUAUAAGACGGGGAUAACUACGGGAAACGGGAGCUUAUACCGGAUAAUAUCUUGAACCGCGUUGUUCAAUAGUAAGAGUCGGUUUUGCUGUCACUAAUAGCUGGAUCCGCGCCGGAUUAGCUAGUUGGUAAGGUAACGGCUUACCAAGGCGAGGAUGCGUAGCCGACCUGAGAGGGUGGUAGCCCACACGGGAAGUGAGACAGGGUCCAGACUCCUGCGGGAGGCAGCAGUAGGGAAUCUUACGCAAUGGGGGAAAGCCUGACGGAGCAACGCGGCGUGAGUUAUGAAGGUGUUGGGAUCGGAAAGCUCUGUUAUUAGGGAUGAACAAAUGUGUAAGUAACUGUGCAGGUAUUGACGGUACCUGGUCAGAAAGCCCCGGCUAACUACGUG